rnacentral:rRNA from 1 species
AUUAAACGCUGGCGGCAUUGCCUUACACAUGCAAGUCGAACGGCAGCACGGGGGCAACCCUGGUGGCGAGUGGCGGACGGGUGAGUAAAGCAUCGGAACGUAUCCUGGAGUGGGGGAUAACGUAGCGAAAGUUACGCUAAUACCGCAUAUUCUGUGAGCAGGAAAGCAGGGGAUCGCAAGACCUUGCGCUCUGGGAGCGGCCGAUGUCGGAUUAGCUAGUUGGUGGGGUAGAGGCCUACCAAGGCGACGAUCCGUAGCGGGUCUGAGAGGAUGAUCCGCCACACUGGGACUGAGACACGGCCCAGACUCCUACGGAGGCAGCAGUGGGGAAUUUUGGACAAUGGGCGGAAGCCUGAUCCAGCCAUGCCGCGUGAGUGAAGAAGGCCUGUGUAAG